GAUGAACGCUGGCGGUAUGCUUAACACAUGCAAGUCGAACGGACUCUUCGGAGUUAGUGGCGGACGGGGGAGGAACGCGUGAGAAGCUGGACUUGGGUUAGGGACAAUCACUGGAAACGGUGGUUAAUACAGGUUGUGCUGAGAGGGAAAAGAGACAUCGGCUGCAUAGUGGCGCGUGUAUGGUUAGCUAGUUGGUGAUGUGAGGGGCCACCAAUGCAGCGAUCAGUAGCUGCUCUGAGGGGGUGACCUGCCACGCGGGGACUGAGACACCGCCCAGCCUCCUGCGGGAGGCAGCUGUGGAGCAUUGUCCACUAUGGGCGAACGUCUGACGGAGCAAUACCGCGUGAGAGAAGAAGGUUCUUGGGUUGUAAACCUCUUUCCUGAGGCGAGAACAAAGUGACGGUACUUAAUAAAUCAGCACCGGCUAACUCCGUG
rnacentral:rRNA from 1 species